ensembl:ncRNA C54E4.8 ncRNA
AUGGCCUAGUUUUCCAAAAACUUGGUUUUCUAGGCCAUCAACUUCAAGCCGUUGUAACUUGGCUCAAA